AUUGAACGCUGGCGGCAGGCUUAACACAUGCAAGUCGAGCGGGUGUAGCAAUACACCAGCGGCAGACGGGAGAGUAACACGUGGGAACGUGCCCUUCAGUUCGGAACAACCCAGGGAAACUUGGGCUAAUACCGGAUACGUCCGUAAGGAGAAAGAUUUAUCGCUGAAGGGUCGGCCCGCGUCUGAUUAGCUUGUUGGUGAGGUAAUGGCUCACCAAGGCGACGAUCAGUAGCUGGUCUGAGAGGAUGAUCAGCCUCACUGGGACUGAGACACGGCCCAGACUCCUACGGGAGGCAGCAGUAGGGAAUAUUGGACAAUGGGCGCAAGCCUGAUCCAGCCAUGCCGCGUGGGUGAUGAAGGCCCUAGGGUUGUAAAGCCCUUUCGGCGGGGAAGAUAAUGACGGUACCCGCAGAAGAAGCCCCGGCUAACUUCGUGCCAGCAGCCGCCGUAAUAC
rnacentral:rRNA from 1 species